GAUCAGUAAUCAGACACCUAAUAACUUGACAGACUGCUGCAGGCCUGCUUUUGACCAAAUGGAUUGCACAGGAGCAAUAUAGUAUGGAGUGAAAUUAAAUUGUUGCUGGUUCAGACCUGGUGAGGGACAGAUGAGUACGUCGGUGGAAAAGACAUAUAUGAUCACGCACACUCAAGGCUGGGGAAGUUUCUCUCUGUCAGCCUGGUGAGGGACACCCACACAGCCUGAAGGGACCAACUUCCAGGAGGAAAAAUGGUACUUCACAGAUAGCUUGGACUUGCUGGCGCUGUGACUCAACCUUCAGCUUUCCGGAAGCU